ACUCCUACGGGAGGCAGCAGUGGGGAAUCUUGCGCAAUGGGCGAAAGCCUGACGCAGCGACGCCGCGUGGGGGAAGAAGGCCUUAGGGUUGUAAACCUCUUUCAGGUGGGACGAAGCCACUCGGGUGAAUAGCCCAGAGGGUGACGGUACCGCCAGAAGAAGCCCCGGCUAACUACGUGCCAGCAGCCGCGGUAAUACGUAGGGGGCAAGCGUUGUCCGGAUUUAUUGGGCGUAAAGAGCGUGUAGGCGGCCAGGUAGGUCGGUUGUGAAAACUGGAGGCUCAACCUUCAGACGUCGACCGAAACCAUCUGGCUAGAGUCCGGAAGAGGAGAGUGGAAUUCCUGGUGUAGCGGUGGAAUGCGCAGAUAUCAGGAAGAACACCCGUGGCGAAGGCGGCUCUCUGGGACGGUACUGACGCUGAGACGCGAAAGCGUGGGGAGCGAACAGGAUUAGAUACCCUGGUAGUCCACGCCGUAAACGAUGGGUGCUAGGUGUGGGGGGUGUCGACUCCCCCCGUGCCGAAGCUAACGCAUUAAGCACCCCGCCUGGGGAGUACGGCCGCAAGGCUAAAACUCAAAGGAAUUGACGG
rnacentral:rRNA from 1 species